GGAAUAGGGGAUGGGAGAGUAUAUCGAAGAGAGAAUGGGAUGGGAAUGGGCUCAAAG
rnacentral:sRNA from 1 species